ensembl:lncRNA
AACAAAAUCUGAGUUUACAUUGGCGCUUUACUUUCAGUAGUUCUAAAACACGCGGUGAUUGUGCAGAGAGCCACAUCAAUUUACAGAAAUACUCAUAAUAAACAUUGAUAAAGAUACGACUAUUAUACAUGGAACUAAAUAAACUUCUCCUUAAUGCAACCGCUGUGUCAGAUUUCAAAAAAGCUUUACGGAGAAAGAAAGCGAUGCAAUAAUCUGAGUACAGCCUUUAGACAACAAAAAAGCCCAAAAGAUACCCGACAUAUUGGGUAGUAAACAUUACUCAGAAAUAGAAUUUGAAAUAUUCACUUACCUUUGAUUAUCUUCAUCAUAAUGCACUCCCAGGAAUCCCAGUUCCACCAUAAAUGCUUGAUUUCGAUAAUGUCCAUCAGUUAUGUCCAAAUAUCUUCUUUUGUUAGGGCGUUUGAUAAACAAAUCCAAAAGUGCGUUCAGGUCGCGCCGAACGUCGGACGAAAAGUUAAAAAAGUUCAGUUACAGCCCGUAGAAACAUUCCAAACCAAGUAUGGAAUACAUCUUUAGGAUGUUUUUAACAUAAAACUUCAUUAAUUUUCCAACCGGACAAUUCCUAUGUCUGUACAAAUGAAGUGGAACGUAGCUACCUUUCACGUGAGCGCGCCAGACCGAGGCUGUGGCACUCUGCCAGACCACUACCUCAAGGAGCCCUUAUGAGCCCCUCCUUUAGAGUAUAAUCCUCAAAAUAGGUUCUAAAUACUGUUGACAUCUAGUAGAAGCCUUGGGAAGUGAAACAUAACUAAUAUCACACGGUAUCUUCAAUGGGGGCUGAGGUGAUAAACUACAAACCUCAGAUUUCCCACUUCCUGCUUGGAUUUUUUUCUCAGGUUUUUGCCUGCUGUAUGAGUUAUGUUAUGCUCACAGACAUCAUUCAAACAGUUUUAGAAACUCCAGAGUGUUUUCUAUCCAGAUUUUCUAAUUAUAUGCAUAUUCUAGCUUUUACGGCUGAGUAGCAGGCAGCUUCAUUUGGGGACGUUUUUCAUCCAAGCUACCCAAUAUUGCCCCCUACCCCAAAGAAGUUAAACAGCUUGUCAACACUUCUUACAAAAACAGGUAGUGAUGAAGUAAAUCUCUCCUCCACUUUGAGCCAUGAGAGAUUGACAUGCAUAUUAUUAAUGUUAGUUUAACAUUUACAUUUAAGGGCCAGACAAUCCAGUGUUACUUCAAGCAGUUUAGUCGCCUCAAUUUACUCAAUUUCCACACUAUUCAUUGCAAUAUUUAGUUGAGGUUUAGUGAAUGAUUUGUCCCAAAUACAAUGCUUUUAGUUUUUGAAAUAUUUAGGACAAACUUAUUCCUUGCCAACCAUUCUGAAACUAACUGCAGCUUUUUGUUAAUUGUUGCAGUCAUUUCAAUCGAUGUAGUAGCUGACGUGGAUAUAGUGUUGAGUCAUCUGCAUACAUAGACACAUUGGCUAUUUGAGCCAGUAAAGGUUUUUUUUCACUGGCUCAAAUCUUUUAUUUUUUUUACUAUGGGUAGUGGAAUAACUUUUGCUUCUCCCCAGGCCUGAGGGUACACACUUUCUAGUAGGCUUAGAUGAACAAUAUGUCAAAUAGGAGAGGCAAUAUUGUUCGCUAUUAUCCUCAGUCAUUUUCCAUCCAAGUUGUCAGACGCCGGUGGCUUGUCAUUGUUGAUAGACAACAAUCAUUUUUUCACCUCUUCCACACUCACUUUACGAAUUCAAAAUUACAAUGCUUGUCUUUCAUAAUUUGUUCAGUUAUGCUUGGAUGUGUAGUGUUGGCAUUUGUUGCUGGCAUGUCAUGUAUAAGUUUGCUAAUCUUGCCAAUUAAGAAAUCAUUAAAGUAGUUGGAAAUAUCAGUGGGUUUUGUGAUGAAUGAGCCAUCUGAUUCAAAGAAUGUUGGAGCUGAGUUCGCCUUUUUUGCCCAACAUUUCAUUUAAGGUGUUCCAAAGGUUAUUACUAUCAAUGUUUAUGUCAUAUAUAUUUGUUUCAUGGUAUAGAUUCUUCUUAUUAUUAUGAAUUUUUUCACAUGACUUCUCAAUUUGCAGUACGUUUGCCAACCAGUUGUGCUGCCAGACUUAUUUGCCAUUCCUUUUGCAACAUCCGUCUCAGCCAUACCAUUUUUCAAUUUCUCGCCAAUCCAAGGGGAUUUAACAUUUCUUCAGUCAUUUUCUUAAUGGGUGCAUGCUUAUUCGUAACUGGAAUAAGCAAUUUCAUAGAUGUGUCAAGUGCAGCGUCUGGUUGCUCCUCAUUGCACCACAGACCAGCAAAUCUUUUUUACACCAUCAACAUAAGAAUCACUACAAUACUUAUCGUAUGACCUCUUAUACCCUAUAUUAGGCCCACCAUUUGGAACUUUGGUUUUCCGAUAUGUGGCUACUAUAUUGUGAUCACUACAUCCAAUGGAUUUUUAAACUGCUUUAAAGCAAAUUUCUGCUAAUUUAGUAAAGAUGUGAUACAUGAUGAUGAUUUAAUUCCUGUGCUGUUUAUAGAUAUACCUUAAUGCAACCGCUGUGUCUGAUUUCAAAAAAACUUUACGGAAUAAGCAAACCAUGCAAUAAUCUGAGACGGCGCUCAGAAAAAUAGUCAAAAUAGCCGCCAUGUUGGUGUCAACAUAAACAAGAAUUUACAUGAUAAAUAUUCCCUUACCUUUGAUGAUCUUCAUCAGAAAGCCUCCCAGGAAUCCCAGGUCCACAAUAAAUGUUUGUUUUGUUCGAUAAUGUGCGUUAUUGAUGUCCAAAUACCUCCUUUUUUUAGCGUGUUUGGUAUACAUAUCCAAAUGCUCAUUCUGGUCAGCGUUACGUCGGACAAAAACUUCAAAAAGUUAUAUUACAGGUCGAAGAAAUAUUUCAAACUAAGUACAGAAUAAAUCAUUAUGAUUUUUUAACAUAUAGCUUCAAUAAAGUUCCAACCGGAGUAUUCCUUUGUGUCUUGAUGAGCAAUGGAACGCAAGUGGAUACCAUGAGGAACGCGCGUGAUCAGAAAAUAGCUGACUGCCAGUCACCUGAUACAUUCUGCUCUCAUUAAGUCCCACAACACAGUAGAAGUCUCAUUCAAAUUUCUAUAGACGGUUGACAUCUAGUGGAAGCCCUCGAAGUGCAACAUCAUUAAUAUCUCAAUGGGAUAUCAAUGGGAACUGUGGUGAAUUCAUACCAAGCUUUUCAUACCAAGAUUUUUCACUUCCUGUUUUGAUUUCUCCUCAGGAUUUUGCCUGCCAUAUGAGUUCUGUUAUACUCACAGACAUCAUUCAAACAGUUUUAGAAACUUUAGAGUGUUUUCUGUCCAAUAAUAAUAAUAAUGAUAUGCAAAUAUUUGCAACUGAGACUGAGCAGCAGGCCGUUUACUUUGGGAACCUUAUUCAUCCAAGCUACUCAAUACUGCCUCCAGCCAUCAGAGGUUAACUACCCUGGUAAGCUGAACCAGGUUGCAGGCGCUAGUUACAGUUUGAAGAUUUUGUGGGGAACUUGUUGAAAGCCAGCCAAUAUUUUAAAUCACCCAGAAAAUAUACCUCUCUGUUGAUAUCACAUACAUUAUCAAGCCAGAUUGCAAGAUGGCGCCGACAGACAUGGCAGCUCUGCUUCUAGCUCCUAAGCAACUCUGCAGUAUUUUGUUUUUUUGGGUGCUAUUUCUUAUUUUAUUAGCCUAGAACUUUUUUUUGUGUCAUUUCAUACAGCCGGAAAAAACUUUUGCAUAUCAGAGAGGCGGUAAAUCACCAGCAUUACGAUCAGGAAUUUCCCAAAUUGGAUCCUUUAUUUGUAACCCAGGGUAAUUGAACUUAUCCCAGAGGCUGCAACAAGAAGAUGCCGAGGGUGAAGAGGUAUUCGGAGUGGACUUCUAGUUCGACUCAGGAGGCUUGCAUACCAUUCCCUGCUUCCGAGUAUUUUACCUGCUAAUGUUCAGUCUCUGGACAAUAAAGUAGACGAGUUUAGGGCGAGGAUCUCCUUUCAGAGAGACAUCAGGGACCAUAACAUACUCUGUUUCACAGAAUCAUUGCUCUCUCUGGAUAUACUGUCCCCGUCCAUACAGCCAGCUGGGUUCUCAGUACAUUGUGCAUACAGGGUAAAAUAAUUCUCCAGGAAGAAGAAAUGCAGUGGUGUAUGUUUCAUGAUUUACUACUCAUGGUGUGAUUCUGAUAAUGUAGAAAAAGUAAUUUUCUUCACCCGACCUAGUAUACCUCACGAUAAAAUGCAGACCGUAUUACCUCCCAAGAUAAUUAUCUUCAGUUAUAGUCACAGCCGUGAAUAUUCCCAUUCAAGCCGAUACCAUGACGGCCCUAAAGGAACUACAUGAGACAUUUUGCAAACUGGAAACCACAUGUCCUGAGGCCGCAUUUAUUGUAGCUGGGGAUUUUACGAAUGCAAAUUUGAGGAAAACGCAACCGAAGUUCUUUCAACACACUGACUGUAGUACUUUCGCUGCUAAAACGGUCAACCACUGUUAUUCUCCCUUAUGGGAUGCCUACAAGGCCCUCCCCCAACUUCCCUUAAAGGCACAGUCAACUUAGUAUAUGUAAACUUCUGACCCAUUGGAAUUGUAAAAGAGUGAAAUAAUCAGUAUAUAAACAAUUGUUGGAAAAAUUACUUGUCAUGCACAAAGUAGAUGUCCUAACCGACUUGCCAAAACUAUAGUUUGUUAACUUCUCUAGGAUAGGGGGCAGCAUUCGGAAUUUUGAAUGAAAAGCAUGCCCAAGUUCAACUGCCUGCAACUCAUCCCCAGAAGAUAAGAUAUGCAUAUUAUUAGAAAACACUCUGAAGUUUCUAAAACUGUUUGAAUCAUGUCUAUGAGUAUAACUGAACUUAUUUAGCAGGCAAAACCCCGAGGACGAACCAUUCAGAUGUUUUAUUUUGAGGUCACUCUCUUUUCAAUGGGAUUUCAUUGGGAAUCCAGAUUUCGAAGGGACCUUCUUGCAGUUCCUAUCGCUUCCGCUGGAUGUCAACAGUCUUUAGAAAUUGGUUGAGGUUUUUCCUUUGUGUAAUGAAGAAGUAGCACUGUUCAGAACGAGGGUCACUUGAAGUGUACUGUUAGGGGCGCGUGAUCAGAAAGCUAGCUACAGUUUGUUUUCCUCCUGUAUUGAACACAGAUCAUCCCGUCUUCAAUUCUAUCAAUUAUUUACGUAAAAUAAUACCUAAAGUUGUAUUACAAAAGUAGUUUGAAAUGUUUUGGCAAAGUUUACAGGUAACUUUUGAGAUAUUUUUGUAGUCACGUUGCGCAAGUUGGAACCUGUGUUUUUUUUGAUAAAACGCGCCAAAUAAAUUGACAUUUUGGAUAUAUAUCGACGGAAUUAAUUGAACAAAAGGACCAUUUGUGAUGUUUAUGGGACAUAUUGGAGUGCCAACAAAAGAAGCUCGUCAAAAGUAAGGCAUGAAUUAUAUUUUUUAUUUCUGCGUUUUGUGUCGCGCCUGCAGGGUUGAAAUAUGCUUCUCUCUCUUUGUUUACUGGGGUGCUAUCCUCAGAUAAUAGCAUCGUUUGCUUUUGCCGAGAAGCCUUUUUGAAAUUUGACAUGUUGCCUGGAUUCACAUCAAGUGAAGCUUUAAUUUGCUAUCUUGCAUGUGUGAUUUCAUGAAAGUUAGAUUUGAAUUUGGCGCUCUGCAUUUUCACUGGCUUUUGGCCAGGUGGGACGCUAGCGUCCCACAUAUACCAGAGGGGUUAAACAGCUUGGAAAAUUCCAAUGUCAUGGCUUUAGAAGCUCCUGAUAGGCUAACUGACAUCAUUUGAGUCAAUUGGAGGUGUACCUGUGGAUGUAUUUCAAGGCCUACCUUCAAACUCAGUGCUUCUUUGCUUCAUGAGAAAAUCCAAAUAAAUCAGCCAAGACCCCAGAAAAAGUUUUAGACCUCCACAAGUGUGGUUCAUUUUUGGGAGCAAUUUCCAAAUGCCUGAAGGUACCACGUUCAUCUGUACAAACAAUAGUACUCAAGUAUAAACACCAUGGGACCACACAGCCGUCAUACCGCUGUAACGAUUUUCUUCAUCUGAUGAGGAAAGAUCGGACCAAAACGCAGCGUAGUAAGUGUCCAUUUUAAUGAAAGAUAACUGAACACUGAAUACAAAAUAACCAAAGUGAAACAACGAAAAUCGAAACAGUCCUAUCAGGUGACAAAUCACAAAACAGGAAACAACUACUCACAAAUACUAGGUGGGAACAGGUUACCUAAGUAUGGUUCUCAAUCAGAGACAACGAAUGACAGCUGCCUCUGAUCGGGAACCAUACCAGGCUAAACACAGAAAUACAAAACAUAGAACAAAACCUAGAAUGCCCACCCCAACUCAUGCCCUGACCAAAACAACAUAGAGACAUAAAAAAGGAACUAAAGUCAGUACGUGACAGUAACCCCCCCCAAAGGUGCGGACUCUGGACGCAAAACCUGAACCUAUUGGGGAGGGUCUGGGUGGGCAUUUCACCGCGGUUGCGGCUCUGGUGCGGGAAGUAGACCCCACUCCACCUUAGUCUUGGCCCACUUCUGUGGCACCUCUGGAGUGGCGACCCUCGCCGCCGACCCCGGACUGGGGACCCUUACAGCAGGCACCGGACAGGCGGGAGACUCUGGCAGCGCCGGACAGGCAGGAGACUCUGGCGGCGCCGGACAGGCAGGAGACUCUGCCGGCGCCGGACAGGCGGGCGGCGAGGGUUGCUCCGGACUGACGGGCGGCUCUGGCGGCUCCGGACUGAUGGGCGGCUCUGGCGGCUCCGGACAGGAGGGAGACUCUGGCGAUGCCGGACAGGCUGGAGACUCUGGCGGCGCCGGACAGGCAGGAGACUCUGGCGGUGCCGGACAGGAUCCGGGUUCAAUGUGUUUGUUUAUUUCCAACUUGCUGAAGUCUUCCUUCUGCUGACAAUCUGUCUGGGAUCAUACUGGUUUUACAAGAAGAAAACCUGUCCUCAAGAACAAGAUGAUGGUGAGUAAGCAGAGUGUUUGCAGUCUCUCAGGAUGAUCACGGUGGGACUCUAAGAGGGGUGUUGAUGUCAUGAAAGUUGCCAUGGAGACCACGACUAAUGAUGAUGUUAUACUGCUUAUUGCUGUUUUACUCUUAAUCAAGCUCAAACUCAAAGCACAGUCACAUAUUUAGUUAUUUUGACAUACGUCUUCAUAGUUUCAUAAUGUUCCUUCAGACCUGCCCUUAACAAAGUAAUAAUGAAUGAUCUAUGCGAUGGUAUUUAUUUAAUGGAUUUUAACUCUUGAAUUGUAGUGUUUUAGCGGUUUUUCAUUUGUACAUACAGUUUUUUAUAAACUAAUGAAAAUGCUAUUGUGUUUUUGAAAAAUACAUUUUCUUUUGUAUUCGAAUGUGACCUAAGGCCUUCACAAACAGAUUUUUAUUUUGCGAUAGCAAAUAUGUAGAGUUCAAAAAGUACCUGCACUCAAAACUAUGAAAAGGAAUGCAAAAAUAAUGCACUUAAUUUAAUCAAUGCUCAAAAGAAUACAAAAAGGUUCUAGAAAACAAAAACAGAGGAUGCAUUUUGACCACAUGUUUUUAUUAGUGCUGGGGAACUGUAACAGACACUUCCAUUCUUACUGUAACUUCAUCAUGUUUUGAUUUGAUGUGGUAUUUGUGCGAUUUUGAAUCCAUUGAAAUCAAAUCAAGCUACUUACUUACUAUUCUGGACCUUCAGAAUGGCACCAAAGGAGAUGACUGUCGUUUUACGAUCCCAUAACCAAUUGUGCUAUUAUGUAUGUUUUUUCGCGUUAUUUUGAACAUAAUGUUUCUGCCAUUGUGUCUUAUGACCGAAAAAAGCUUCUAGAUGUCAGAACAGCGAUUUCUCACCCCAUGCUGGAGGAAUACUUUGUCUUCAACGUGAAGGACGGGAUGGAUUUAUUUCAGACGCCUGACAAGACCCUCAUCCCCGUCAUUCACAGGAGAAAGAGACAGGGGUAUUGGGGACGAAGGUCUGGGUGCCUUGUAAGGAGGGUAGUCUACCUUUACCAUCGGUCCUAUUAGCCAACAUACAAUCAAUCGAUAAUAAAAUAGACAAACUGCGAUCAUGUAUAUCCACCAACUGGACUGUCACGAUGUAUAAUGAUAGGAGACAGGUGCAGGAAUACGAAAUAGGGUUUUUCUAUUUCUCCAACCAAAAUAGCGUACGUCAUGAACAUGAUGAGGACGAAGCCCAAAACAAACAUGUCAUAUAUAACACAGGGCUGUAACCCAAACAAAGAGUGAGGUGUAACCCUCUAAUAAAUACACUGGACGAGACCCGUAAUAACAAUACACAGGAAGAGACCUGUAAUAACAAGUGCACACUAACAUGGUAACACGCAAGCCGAUACAAGAGAGCACAGGUACUCACAAGACCAACGGACAUGGAACAAUAAUCAGCAAGGACAAUGGGGAACAGAGGGCACAUAUAUACACAUACUAAUUUUAUAUAACUAGGCAAAUCAGUUAAGAACAAACUCUUAUUUACAAUGACCUAGGAACAGUGGGUUAACUGCCUUGUUCAGGGGCAGAAUGCGAGGAAUCAAUCUAGCAACCUUUCGGUUACUGACCCAAUGCUCUAACCACCGGUAGCCACCUGCAGCACUGAUGUGGAAAUACAUUUAUUCCAUUAAAAAUCAAGUUGUGUUUUAAUAGACCUUUUGUUUGUGAACUGAAUUACCGUUGAGGGCCACAGAAAAUGUUACGGCAGGUCAGAUAUGUUCCCCUGGAUGCUAUUGUUAAUGAAGGGAUGAUGCCUCUAUAUGUUUGCCUGGUUCCAUUCUGUAUAUGCUCUGUAGCCACCUCUUCUGUCAUUGCACUGCUAUCAUUGUCGGGCCACCGACCUUUCAGACCUGACUGUGAUUUUUGUUUUUGAUUGGUUCACUGUGGAGUGAUACUUUAAUAACUGUUUCUAAGUAACUUUUUAACUCUAAAUGAGAUAUUUGGAAUGGCAAAGGAGAAACACAGAGAGGAGUUGACUAUACACCACAAACAGACUGGACCAUCUUUAUACCACUACAGGGCAAUACAGGGCAAUACCAUAAUGACUAUCAUAAAUACUAUGUCAGAAAGAGAAUGUAUACCCCCAGAAACAAGAUAGUACUGUCAGCUGCAUUUGUGUUCUGAACAUGUAUUAAUUUAGGUGAAAAAGCAAUUAUUUUUUAUAAAAAGCAAUUAAAAGGAAUUGCUUGUUUGUUUUCAACCUAUUUUCAAUAAAGUAGCCUAUUCUAUAUAGAAAGAAUUCAAAUAGAGAUAAUCCUUUUUUAAAAUCCAAUGAAAACAAACAUUUUAGAGAGAGAGAGAUAAAGAGAGGUGUAUAUGACCUCAUUCUGGACCUCCUUUCUCAUGAUCUAAUACUAUUUAAACA